UUGUUUUUAGUAGCAAAUAUGCUAAAAUUAGAAUGAUACACAGACGAUUAGCAUAGUUCCUGUGCAAGGAUGACAUGAAAAUUCAUGUAGUUUUAUAUGAAACA